GUCUAUGGCCACACUACCCUGAACGCGCCCAAUCUCGUCUGAUGUCAGAAGCUAAGCAGGGUCAGGCCUGGUUAGUACUUGGAUGGGAGAGAAACCAUAAAUUUUCAUGUGAGUGGACAGAUGAAAAUAGUCA
rnacentral:rRNA from 1 species